rnacentral:rRNA from 1 species
CAGUAGCCGCGGUAAUACGAAGGGGGCUAGCGUUGCUCGGAAUUACUGGGCGUAAAGGGAGCGUAGGCGGACAUUUAAGUCAGGGGUGAAAUCCCAGAGCUCAACUGCGGAACUGCCUUUGAUACUGGGUAUCUUGAGUAUGGAAGAGGUUAGUGGAAUUGCGAGUGUAGAGGUGAAAUUCGUAGAUAUUCGCAGGAACACCAGUGGCGAAGGCGGCUAACUGGUCCAUAACUGACGCUGAGGUGCGAAAGCGUGGGGAGCAAACAGGAUUAGAUACCCGAGUAGUCCCUGUCUCUUAUAC